AAACGGUCAUACGACAUCUCCGCGGAGAAGC
rnacentral:sRNA from 1 species